CCGGGGUCAAGGAGUGGUUAGAUGGAGGGGAGAAAAGGCAUGCACAGGCCCUGGUCUGGUGCACUUCGGUGACCCAAAUCAGGUGCUGGCGAGAUGGCGGGAGCUGGGAGGUGCCGCGGGUUGGGGCUAGUAAAAAAGCGUGACAAGGAUCUGGUUGGUAGGUUGAUCACAAGCUAUUGCCCGUUGUCACUGUCCACCGAAGCGUCACGUUGCUGCGCUCACUCAGUUUGUUGGCCUUCCCCUUCGCCUGCUAUUGGUUGAUCUUCCUUUUCGAAAGAUGUUGGCUAAUACUCCUAUAAUGAUGGUGCAUGCAGGCAAAAUGCCAUUAAUUUCUGUCUAA